CGCGUAGGCGGUCGCUUAAGUUGGAUGUGAAAUCCUGGGGCCCAACCCCAGAACUGCAUCCAAAACUGGGCGACUUGAGGACGGGAGAGGGCAGUGGAAUUCCUGGUGUAGCGGUGAAAUGCGUAGAUAUCAGGAGGAACACCCGUGGCGAAGGCGGCUGCCUGGUCCGUAUCUGACGCUGAGGCGCGAAAGCUAGGGGAGCGAACG
rnacentral:rRNA from 1 species